rnacentral:rRNA from 1 species
UGGGGAAUCUUGCACAAUGGGGGCAACCCUGAUGCAGCGACGCCGCGUGAGCGAUGAAGCCCUUCGGGGUUUAAAGCUCUUUCGGCAGGGAAGAUAAUGACGGUACCUGCAGAAUCAGCUGCGGCUAACUACGUGCCAGCAGCCGCGGUAAUACGUAGGCAGCGAGCGUUGUUCGGAGUUACUGGGCGUAAAGGGUGUGUAGGCGGUGCUCUAAGUGUGGUGUGAAAUCUCCCGGCUCAACUGGGAGGGUGCGCUACGAACUGGAGUGCUCGAGUGCGGGAUGGGAGAGUGGAAUUCCUGGUGUAGCGGUGAAAUGCGUAGAUAUCAGGAGGAACACCGGUGGUGUAGACGGCUCUCUGGACCGCAACUGACGCUGAGACACGAAAGCGUGGGUAGCAAACAGGAUUAGAUACCCAAGUAGUCCCUGAGCGGGCUGGCAAGGCGCAU